GAGGGAGUCCAGGUUAAUAUCCAAUUAAGUUAGGAGUGAUUAACUUUAAUUACCUUAAGUCUAUACUAAACAACCUAGGUAAAAAACCUAGUGUUUGCCGACUUUCCUCACAGCCUCCCGAAAUCACCGCCGCGUCACGCACCACAGAUUACGGCCAACUUCCACGGUGAGGGUGACACGAUUGGACGAGAACAACGAUCGAUGCGGUAGCAUUUCGCGAUGGUUCCGGAGGCUGCACGAGGAAGGGAAUGACAAGGGAAAGGAAGUACUUUUCCUUAUGCAACGGUGAAAUUUGUGAGGUGAAAAAAAUUAUCAGGAUACGGAAGGCCUACGGAUGGAGUAGACGAGGAGGCAGGAUAGACGCAUGGUACUGUUCGUUGUCCGGGAGUGCAGUGCAUACUAGAUCCACCGCGGGAGAUAUUCGUUUCUUUGUUAUUCGGGUGGGGAAUGUUGAGGAGUUAUUGUUCUUAUUGAUAAACAUUCGUUGAUACAGUCAUGUCUAUUGAUUAUGAUAGUUCUCUUAUGAUACUGCAUUGUGAUCAUUCAAA